GAGGCUGUAGCUCAGUGGCAGAGGGCUUGCCUAGGAUGUGUGAGGUACUGGGUUCCAUCCGCAGCACCUCA
rnacentral:tRNA from 1 species